CGCACAUUGCGCCCCUUGGUAUUCCGAGGGGCAUGCCUGUUCGAGCGUCAUAUAAACACAUCCCUUACGGGGUCUUGGGAUCCGCCUUUUAGUGGUCCUUAAAAUCAGUGGCGGUGCCAUCUGGCUCUAAGCGUAGUAAUUUUCCUCGCUAUAGUGUUCUGGUGGUUACUUGCCAACAACCCCAACUAUCUACGUUUGACCUCGGAUCAGGUAGGGAUACCCGCUGAACUUAA
rnacentral:misc_RNA from 1 species